rnacentral:rRNA from 1 species
ACGCACGCUGGCGGCGUGCUUAACACCUGCAAGUCGAACGGUGAAGCGCCUUCCUUUUUGGUGGGUGUGGAUGAGUGGCGAACGGGUGAGUAACACGUGAGUAACCUGCCCCCUUCUUCUGGAUAACCGCAUGAAAGUGUGGCUAAUACGGGAUAUUCUGGGUCUGUCGCAUGAUGGGUCUGGGAAAGAUAUUGUUUCGGUGGGGGAUGGGCUCGCGGCCUAUCAGCUUGUUGGUGGGGUGAUGGCCUACCAAGGCGGUGACGGGUAGCCGGCCUGAGAGGGUGGACGGUCACACUGGGACUGAGACACGGCCCAGACUCCUACGGGAGGCAGCAGUGGGGAAUAUUGCACAAUGGGCGCAAGCCUGAUGCAGCGACGCCGCGUGAGGGAUGGAGGCCUUCGGGUUGUGAACCUCCUUCGCCAGUGAAGCAGGCCUGCCUCGUUUGUGGGUGGGUUGACGGUAGCUGGAUAAGAAGCGCCGGCUAACUACGUG